GCCGAGCCUAGUAAAGUGGGCUUGUAACUCGAGCUAGGGUAUUGAGAUAAUGGAACAUUGAGCAAGUCUGACCAAUUCGUUCUAAUUGGUGAACGGUGGCUCGCCCUUUCUAAGCAUAGAGUUGGGCUAAGGUUUCCGGGCAAAGGCUUGGGCUUCUUAGCUCCUAGAGGGUAGGGCAAUGCGUGAGGCUGGUUUCACAAAGCAGCGAUAACCUCCCCUAUUCUUUGUAGUGGAAGGAUAACGAGCUUCUGCUGCUUGGGAUGCCUUACACUGAUUGGGCUAUCAUAUGGACCCUUAUCUCU
rnacentral:SRP_RNA from 1 species